CUGAGCUGUACGAGAUGAAAGUCUCAUAUACGGUUCUGAGAGGGGGAUUUUCACCUAUCUCAAU
rnacentral:ncRNA from 1 species